UCUGUGAAGUGGGAGUGUUUAUUUGAAUCACGGUGCCCCAGACUUGCAUGUGGCAAUGUUUCCAGUAAGCGGUGUUUACUGACCGUGAUCUUUGGAUGACGAUGCUCUCCUCUGUGACACGAAAUUCAAGUCCGUGUCGAUGGAAUCUUUCUCACCUGAGCUUCUCCAUGAUCAAGCCUAGGUCUUGGAGGUAAUUCUUCUACACCCCCUGUGGGCUCGGAGCCACUAGAGAGAGGCUGGUGGUUAUUUUCAAGCCAGAUGCAUCGAUAUGGCUGUGCCCUCCAUGAAGGUCAAGGCUUUCCACAGAUUCCAGUGCCCCCCCCACAUUUUGAAUGUCCCUCUGAUUCUUGAGAGAGCAUGCGAGUUGAACGGUAAGAGCAAUUUCAUGGAGGUUCUUUGUGUUCACCCAUGGCUUGGUUAAAUGUGCAGAUAGCAGAGGUUGCAGAGAGAGGAUGCACAGUUGAACCCAGUGUUCUUCAAUUAGCAGUGUGGAGACUGAAGUAACCUGGGGCCCGUGAUAGUGACCAUUUCUAAGACGAUUAUAGGGCCUGGAGGGAUGGCUCAGUGGUUAAGAGCACCGGCUGCUCUUCCAGAGGUCCUGAGUUCAAUUCCCAGCAGCCACAACUGUGGGAUCUAAUGAGAUCUAAUGGCCUCUUCUGUCAUGCAGGCAAACAUGCAAAUAGAACACUCACGUACAUAAAAUACAUAAAUAAGUAAUAAUAAACUUUUAAACGUUUAAGAAAUAUGAUUGCAGAUCUGAAGACUGAGCCCAGGGCAGCACGCUCUGGGCGCCAACACCUGCUUUUGCUAUCGCUAAGGCAUUUUUCUCACCCAUCGGGAAUGCACCUUGGCAGAUGCUCGCCUGCCUUCACAGCGUGCAUGGUGCCCUACCGACUCUCCACAGACUGGGAUGAUUCAGGGGCGUUUUCUCCGGCUUGAAGCAGUGGGUGUGGUGAUGGCUGUUUCCAGAUAGAAAACCAUGGGCUCCUGGAAAGAGCUGAAGAAAUGAUUGGCUUGUGCUUUGGCUGAAUUGAGAAAGCAGAUCCUGGGGCUUGGACACCUCCAUCAAAGGGCCUGGCUCUCAUUUCCACACCACAAUUGUUCCCUUCCAGAAAUAUGGACCCCAUUAUUAAAUGAGAUCGGAAAAUGA